rnacentral:rRNA from 1 species
UAGGGAAUCUUCCGCAAUGGACGAAAGUCUGACGGAGCAACGCCGCGUGAGUGAAGAAGGAUUUCGGUUCGUAAAACUCUGUUGUUAGGGAAGAAAAAAUGUAUAGGAACUAUAUACAAAAGAGACGGUACCUAACCAGAAAGCCACGGCUAACUACGUGCCAGCAGCCGCGGUAAUACGUAGGUGGCAAGCGUUGUCCGGAAUUAUUGGGAGUAAAGCGCGCGCAGGUGGUUUAGAAAGUCUGAUGUGAAAGCCCACGGCUCAACCGUGGAGGGUCAUUGGAAACAAAUAAACUUGAGUGCAGGAGAGAAAAGUGGAAUUCCUAGUGUAGCGGUGAAAUGCGUAGAGAUUAGGAGGAACACCGGUGGCGAAAGCGGCUUUUUGGCCUGCUACUGACACUGAGGCGCGAAAGCGUGGAGAGCAAACAGG